rnacentral:rRNA from 1 species
UGGGUAACCUGCCUCAAAGAGGGGAAUAGCCUCCCCGAAAAGGGAGAUUAAUACCGCAUAAUAUGUUUAGGUCGCAUGACUUUAAACAUCAAAGGAUUUUUCUUUUAAGAAAUUCCACUUUGAGAUGGACCCGCGGCGCAUUAGCUAGUUGGUGAGGUAACGGCUCACCAAGGCAACGAUGCGUAGCCGACCUGAGAGGGUGAUCGGCCANAUUGGAACUGAGACACGUCCAGACCUCCGUAGGGACGG